rnacentral:rRNA from 1 species
UACAGAGGGGGCAAGCGUUGUUCGGAAUUACUGGGCGUAAAGGGCGCGUAGGCGGCUUGGUCAGUCCCGUGUGAAAUCCCUCGGCUCAACUGAGGAACUGCACGGGAAACUGCCUGGCUUGAGUUCGGGAGAGGGAAGCGGAAUUCCGGGUGUAGCGGUGAAAUGCGUAGAUAUCCGGAGGAACACCGGUGGCGAAGGCGGCUUCCUGGACCGACACUGACGCUGAGGCGCGAAAGCUAGGGGAGCAAACGGG